CUCCUACGGGAGGCAGCAGUGGGGAAUAUUGGACAAUGGGCGAAAGCCUGAUCCAGCGACGCCGCGUGAGGAAGAAGUAUUUCGGUAUGUAAACUCUAUCAGCAGGGAAGAAAAUGACGGUACCUGACUAAGAAGCCCCGGCUAACUACGUGCCAGCAGCCGCGGUGAUACGUAGGGGGCAAGCGUUAUCCGGAUUUACUGGGUGUAAAGGGAGCGUAGACGGUUAAGCAAGUCUGAAGUGAAAGCCCGGGGCUCAACCCGGUACUGCUUUGGAAACUGUUUGACUUGAGUGCAGGAGAGGUAAGUGGAAUUCCUAGUGUAGCGGUGAAAUGCGUAGAUAUUAGGAGGA
rnacentral:rRNA from 1 species